rnacentral:rRNA from 1 species
UAACACGUGGGGAACCUGCCCCAUAGUCUGGGAUACCACUUGGAAACAGGUGCUAAUACCGGAUAAGAAAGCGGAUCGCAUGAUCAGCUUUUAAAAGGCGGCGUAAGCUGUCGCUAUGGGAUGGCCCCGCGGUGCAUUAGCUAGUUGGUAAGGUAAAGGCUUACCAAGGCGAUGAUGCAUAGCCGAGUUGAGAGACUGAUCGGCCACAUUGGGACUGAGACACGGCCCAAACUCCUACGGGAGGCAGCAGUC